UACGGAGGGGGCUAGCGUUGUUCGGAAUUACUGGGCGUAAAGCGCACGUAGGCGGCUUUGUAAGUUAGAGGUGAAAGCCCAGGGCUCAACCCUGGAAUUGCCUUUAAGACUGCAUCGCUUGAACAUCGGAGAGGUAAGUGGAAUUCCGAGUGUAGAGGUGAAAUUCGUAGAUAUCAGGAGGAACACCGGUGGCGAAGGCGGAUCUCUGGGCCUUACCUGACGCUCAGGCGCGAAAGCUAGGGGAGCGAACAGG
rnacentral:rRNA from 1 species